GUGUCGCCGCCGCGGUAAUACCGGUAGUCCGAGUGAUGGCCGAUCUUAUUGGGCCUAAAGCGUCCGUAGCUGGCUGAACAAGUCCGUUGGGAAAUCUGUCCGCUUAACGGGCAGGCGUCCAGCGGAAACUGUUCAGCUUGGGACCGGAAGACCUGAGGGGUACGUCUGGGGUAGGAGUGAAAUCCUGUAAUCCUGGACGGACCGCCGGUGGCGAAAGCGCCUCAGGAGAACGGAUCCGACAGUGAGGGACGAAAGCUAGGGUCUCGAACCGGAUUAGAAA
rnacentral:rRNA from 1 species